ensembl:snRNA U1 U1 spliceosomal RNA
AAACUUGCUUUGCAGGGGAGAUAACCAUGAUCACAGAGGUGUUGUUCCAAGGAAAGGACAUGGCCAUUGCACCACUAAUGGGCUGACCUCUGUGAUUUCCCCAAAAGCAGAAAACUAGACUGCAUCACUUGUGAUAGUGGGGACUGUGUUCAAGCACUACCCUCAA